UACGUAGGGCGCAAGCGUUAUCCGGAAUUAUUGGGCGUAAAGAGCUCGUAGGCGGUUUGUUGCGUCUGCCGUGAAAGUCCGGGGCUCAACUCCGGAUCUGCGGUGGGUACGGGCAGACUAGAGUGAUGUAGGGGAGACUGGAAUUCCUGGUGUAGAGGUGAAAUGCGCAGAUAUCAGGAGGAACACCGGUGGCGAAGGCAGGUCUCUGGGCAUUAACUGACGCUGAGGAGCGAAAGCAUGGGGAGCGAACAGG
rnacentral:rRNA from 1 species